rnacentral:rRNA from 1 species
AGAGUUUAUCCUGGCUCAGAGCGAACGCUGGCGGCAGGCCUAACACAUGCAAGUCGAACGAACUCUUCGGAGUUAGUGGCGGACGGGUGAGUAACACGUGGGAACGUGCCUUUAGGUUCGGAAUAACUCAGGGAAACUUGUGCUAAUACCGAAUGUGCCCUUCGGGGGAAAGAUUUAUCGCCUUUAGAGCGGCCCGCGUCUGAUUAGCUAGUUGGUGAGGUAAAGGCUCACCAAGGCGACGAUCAGUAGCUGGUCUGAGAGGAUGAUCAGCCACAUUGGGACUGAGACACGGCCCAAACUCCUACGGGAGGCAGCAGUGGGGAAUCUUGCGCAAUGGGCGAAAGCCUGACGCAGCCAUGCCGCGUGAAUGAUGAAGGUCUUAGGAUUGUAAAAUUCUUUCACCGGGGACGAUAAUGACGGUACCCGGAGAAGAAGCCCCGGCUAACUUCGUGCCAGCAGCCGCGGUAAUACGAAGGGGGCUAGCGUUGCUCGGAAUUACUGGGCGUAAAGGGAGCGUAGGCGGACAUUUAAGUCAGGGGUGAAAUCCCGGGGCUCAACCUCGGAAUUGCCUUUGAUACUGGGUGUCUUGAGUAUGAGAGAGGUGUGUGGAACUCCGAGUGUAGAGGUGAAAUUCGUAGAUAUUCGGAAGAACACCAGUGGCGAAGGCGACACACUGGCUCAUUACUGACGCUGAGGCUCGAAAGCGUGGGGAGCAAACAGGAUUAGAUACCCUGGUAGUCCACGCCGUAAACGAUGAUUGCUAGUUGUCGGGAUGCAUGCAUUUCGGUGACGCAGCUAACGCAUUAAGCAAUCCGCCUGGGGAGUACGGUCGCAAG